UAGCAAUUAAAUUGACAACCCAAUUCAAAC
rnacentral:piRNA from 1 species